GGGGCCGACUUGGUUUCGACGUGGGUGCGGAUGCGGGAUAGUGCAUGUCGAGCACCAGUGAGCUCGUAAAUCCAUCUGGAAACAAACUAACUGCCAACGACGAAUCGUUCGCACUCGCCGCUUAACACCGGUGAGCCUCGCAACAGUCGGCCUAUGGGCUGGGCUUGAGUCGCAAGACAAGGGCUGCGAGGUUAUUCACAUAGGCUGGGCUUGAGCGGGGUCACUCCGUUGAAGCCGAGAUCAAGUGACUGGUGGGCUCCGUAGCGUGCUGCUGCGCGACGGUGACCACGAGAUCCAAAUCAGUCAGCUAAACAUGUAGAUCUACCUGUUGAUGGCUUGCGGACGGGGGUUCAAUUCCCCCCGGCUCCACCA
rnacentral:tmRNA from 1 species